GGAUAUGAGGGCGAUCUGGCUACAGCAUCUGUCACCUCAUUGAUUGGGUUGAUCUGAUGAAUCUGGCUGGCUAGGUGGGUGGCCCCUUCCUCCCCCACUACCUUAUGUGAGUCCCUCCUGAUGCUGCCAGCUGGGUGGAAGAGGAUCACGCUUCCCGAUGGAGGAGAAUAUUUAUUUGGUCAAAGUCUAAGAGUACCUGUGCUCCCCUGCUAAAAACUCUAAAACAAGCUCUCAAUACAAAAUAGCUCCUACUCCUUUUCUUUUCAUGGCACAAGUAGACUCUUGAAAUUCACAGGGGUUAUAUUCCUAGAACACCUGU
rnacentral:snRNA from 1 species